UUUAUGGAGAGUUUGAUCCUGGCUCAGGAUGAACGCUGGCGGCGUGCCUAAUACAUGCAAGUCGAGCGAACGGACGAGAAGCUUGCUUCUCUGAUGUUAGCGGCGGACGGGUGAGUAACACGUGGAUAACCUACCUAUAAGACUGGGAUAACUUCGGGAAACCGGAGCUAAUACCGGAUAAUAUUUUGAACCGCAUGGUUCAAAAGUGAAAGACGGUCUUGCUGUCACUUAUAGAUGGAUCCGCGCUGCAUUAGCUAGUUGGUAAGGUAACGGCUUACCAAGGCAACGAUGCAUAGCCGACCUGAGAGGGUGAUCGGCCACACUGGAACUGAGACACGGUCCAGACUCCUACGGGAGGCAGCAGUAGGGAAUCUUCCGCAAUGGGCGAAAGCCUGACGGAGCAACGCCGCGUGAGUGAUGAAGGUCUUCGGAUCGUAAAACUCUGUUAUUAGGGAAGAACAUAUGUGUAAGUAACUGUGCACAUCUUGACGGUACCUAAUCAGAAAGCCACGGCUAACUACGUGCCAGCAGCCGCGGUAAUACGUAGGUGGCAAGCGUUAUCCGGAAUUAUUGGGCGUAAAGCGCGCGUAGGCGGUUUUUUAAGUCUGAUGUGAAAGCCCACGGCUCAACCGUGGAGGGUCAUUGGAAACUGGAAAACUUGAGUGCAGAAGAGGAAAGUGGAAUUCCAUGUGUAGCGGUGAAAUGCGCAGAGAUAUGGAGGAACACCAGUGGCGAAGGCGACUUUCUGGUCUGUAACUGACGCUGAUGUGCGAAAGCGUGGGGAUCAAACAGGAUUAGAUACCCUGGUAGUCCACGCCGUAAACGAUGAGUGCUAAGUGUUAGGGGGUUUCCGCCCCUUAGUGCUGCAGCUAACGCAUUAAGCACUCCGCCUGGGGAGUACGACCGCAAGGUUGAAACUCAAAGGAAUUGACGGGGACCCGCACAAGCGGUGGAGCAUGUGGUUUAAUUCGAAGCAACGCGAAGAACCUUACCAAAUCUUGACAUCCUUUGACAACUCUAGAGAUAGAGCCUUCCCCUUCGGGGGACAAAGUGACAGGUGGUGCAUGGUUGUCGUCAGCUCGUGUCGUGAGAUGUUGGGUUAAGUCCCGCAACGAGCGCAACCCUUAAGCUUAGUUGCCAUCAUUAAGUUGGGCACUCUAAGUUGACUGCCGGUGACAAACCGGAGGAAGGUGGGGAUGACGUCAAAUCAUCAUGCCCCUUAUGAUUUGGGCUACACACGUGCUACAAUGGACAAUACAAAGGGUAGCGAAACCGCGAGGUCAAGCAAAUCCCAUAAAGUUGUUCUCAGUUCGGAUUGUAGUCUGCA
rnacentral:rRNA from 1 species